UACGUAGGGGGCAAGCGUUGUCCGGAAUUAUUGGGCGUAAAGCGCGCGCAGGCGGCUUUGUAAGUUUGGUGUUUAAGCUCGGAGCUCAACUCCGAUACGCAUCGAAAACUGCAAGGCUUGAGUGCAGAAGAGGAAAGUGGAAUUCCACGUGUAGCGGUGAAAUGCGUAGAUAUCGGGAGGAACAUCAGUGGCGAAGGCGGCUACCUGGCCCGGUACUGACGCUGAGGUGCGAAAGCGUGGGGAGCAAACAGG
rnacentral:rRNA from 1 species